UAAUACGUAGGUGGCAAGCGUUAUCCGGAAUUAUUGGGCGUAAAGCGCGCGCAGGCGGUUUCUUAAGUCUGAUGUGAAAGCCCACGGCUCAACCGUGGAGGGUCAUUGGAAACUGGGGAACUUGAGUGCAGAAGAGAAAAGCGGAAUUCCACGUGUAGCGGUGAAAUGCGUAGAGAUGUGGAGGAACACCAGUGGCGAAGGCGGCUUUUUGGUCUGUAACUGACGCUGAGGCGCGAAAGCGUGGGGAGCAAACAGGAUUAGAUACCCUGGUAGUCCACGCCGUAAACGAUGAGUGCUAAGUGUUAGAGGGUUUCCGCCCUUUAGUGCUGCAGCUAACGCAUUAAGCACUCCGCCUGGGGAGUACGGUCGCAAGACUG
rnacentral:rRNA from 1 species